AUGGUCCAAUCUUCUUAGGAAGUAUGUGGAAAGAUCAGUUUCGCUGACAUAAAUGACCAGUUUAUUCACUAGUAGGAUAUGUGUGGAUCUUACCUCCUCUUAUUUAGUAGCCAGAAUGAAAAUUUAUUUUUGAAAUAUGUAUUUUUCUUAUUUUUAAGGAUAUUUCUUUUCUGUAUGAUGUUAAAUAUGUAAAAGAAGAGACUAGAGAGAAUGUAAUUUGACCCCCACAUUCAUACCAUGCAAUACAAUCCAAAGAUGAUCACGAGAAACAAAAUGGUGUCCUCGUGCCUCAUAAGCCAAAGAGAUUAACAGACACUUUAAUUCCUGAAGAAUUUCAUAUCGGGUCAAGUACAGGAGCUUCAGGUUUGGAGAGCUAUGAUGACAAAUAUACUACUCUUCUCACGGAUAGUGAAAACAGGCUAUUGCUCUUCCCAUCCAUGAUUGUAGAAGAGUACCAUGACUUAUAUACAUUACAAAGAGGAAGGAUGGAGGCUGAUAUUAAACAGUUAAUUGAAGAAAGAGAUAUCUGGAGCUCAGCCACAUAUAAGUUGGCUCUAAAGGUAAUUGAAAGAAAUGGAGUCAUAUUGGCCAAAAGGCUCUUCCUCAAUGAAAAAGGCUGGAAUAAAUACACUAAGCAUUUCAUCACAGUGCUGUCAAACAAGGACACUGCAGACUUCACAUUGUUGCAGAAAUUGACACACAAAUGGAGAAACUUACUGAAUAAAUUUAAACAGGAUGUUGAACAAACAGAAGAGCCUACAAGGGAGAAAUUGCAAAUUGUUAAGGAUGGCCUUAUGAAAUGGCAGCAGUUCUAUGAAAAUAAGUGAGUCUCUAAGAAUCCUCUUUUUCUGAUUAUAGCAUGUCUAAAUAACUCAGUACAGUUCUCAUUCUGUCUUUCUCUGUCCACACCCCUCCUUCUACCUUACAAUUA
rnacentral:lncRNA from 1 species